GGAGGCGUGGCUGAGUGGUUUAAAGCAGCAUCCUGCUAAGAUGUUGGGGGAGUAAUCCCCCCGAAGGUUCGAAUCCUUCCGCCUCCGCCA
rnacentral:tRNA from 1 species